rnacentral:rRNA from 1 species
AUUGAACGCUGGCGGCAUGCCUUACACAUGCAAGUCGAACGGUAACGCGGGGCAACCUGGCGACGAGUGGCGAACGGGUGAGCAAUGCAUCGGAACGUGCCCAGUAGUGGGGGAUAGCCCGGCGAAAGCCGGAUUAAUACCGCAUACGAGCUACGGGUGAAAGCGGGGGACCGUAAGGCCUAGCGCUAUUGGAGCGGUCGAUGUCAGAGUAGGUUGUUGGUGGGGUAAAAGCCUACCAAGCCGACGAUCUGUAGCUGGUCUGAGAGGACGACCAGCCACACUGGGACUGAGACACGGCCCAGACUCCUACGGGAGGCAGCAGUGGGGAAUUUUGGACAAUGGGGGCAACCCUGAUCCAGCCAUGCCGCGUGCGGGAAGAAGGCCUUCGGGUUGUAAACCGCUUUUGUCAGGGAAGAAACGCUCUGGGCUAAUACCCCGGGGUAAUGACGGUACCUGAAGAAUAAGCACCGGCUAACUACGUGCCAGCCGCCGCCGUAACAC